GAUGAACGCUGGCGGCGUGCUUAACACAUGCAAGUCGAACGGUGAAGCAGAGCUUGCUCUGUGGAUCAGUGGCGAACGGGUGAGUAACACGUGAGCAACCUGCCCCGGACUCUGGGAUAAGCGCUGGAAACGGCGUCUAAUACCGGAUACGAGCUGCGAAGGCAUCUUCAGCAGCUGGAAAGAAUUUCGGUCCGGGAUGGGCUCGCGGCCUAUCAGCUUGUUGGUGAGGUAAUGGCUCACCAAGGCGUCGACGGGUAGCCGGCCUGAGAGGGUGACCGGCCACACUGGGACUGAGACACGGCCCAGACUCCUACGGGAGGCAGCAGUGGGGAAUAUUGCACAAUGGGCGAAAGCCUGAUGCAGCAACGCCGCGUGAGGGACGACGGCCUUCGGGUUGUAAACCUCUUUUAGCAGGGAAGAAGCGAAAGUGACGGUACCUGCAGAAAAAGCGCCGGCUAACUACGUGCCAGCCGCCGCCGUAAUAC
rnacentral:rRNA from 1 species